CAUGCGACGGACGUCAGGUGCGCAAUAACUUAGCUAAAAUAAGUCUGUGUGGUCGGUGACGGUAUAACUGUAUAACGGAAGCCAGAACACGUUAGUGUAGGUCAGGUCAAAACCUCAAGUGUCAACACGGAGAAGGCGGAACCGGCAGCGACAUUCACAACUUCCUGCGAACGAUGGAGAGACGCUUGCUUGUAGCUUAUGUUAUGGCACCUUAAUGGACAGCACCUCAUUAUGUCCAUUGAUCGCAAACCCCAAGGAGAGAUCCAACAGAAAAAGGCCCAAGGGAAGUUUAAGACAAUCUGCAACCUGUGCCCUCCUCUGACAAGAGUAAUAAACUUCAGGAGGGGGGCCCUCCUGAAGUAGGACUCCAAUGAUGAACCUGCCUACCUGCUUGUACUUCAGAGCAAUGAGACCUCCAGUUUUCUGCUGUGGUGUUUACUCUGGGUCUGCCAAAGGAGGAAGGAGAGGGGAUCCAUUUGUCCCAAGAUCUAUAGAGGCCUACAGCAGCCAGCUCAUUCAUUACAUGCACCAUGCGUCCUGUAGAGACGGGCAGGACACUUUCACACACAAAGGGGUUCUUCUGUGUGGAGUAGACGCCGCUGGUCUUCGCCGCCUGGGUGUUCUUCAGGAUCCAGGAUUUCACUUGUGGAGUGAACGGGAUUCCAGUGAACCUGUACAUCUCCGUCGCCUUCCUCAUGGGAAACCGAGC